CGGUGACUGUGCAAAUCGUUUCUCUCGCUAAUAUUUCAAUGUCUUGAACUUCAAUACUUCUAAAUCGAUUAUAAUAGUUCGAUAAAAAGAAGAAAUGUGACACACAACGGCAUGUCAAUAAUUUAGCAUAAAAGUUAACAUUAACUACAUAAUAUCACGUAACGAUCCGACUGAGAAUUUCAUAAGGGCGACGACUAUAUAAUUCGUGCACGGAUCGCCGCAUCAUCGACGAUCACGCUUCUCGAAGAAGAAACGCACGAGCACUAACACACCUGGUGUAAUCGGCAGUGGCGAUCCUCGCUGACACAAUGAGACACGUACCACCACGGAGUAAAGGGUUGCAAGAAGACGAGAGUCUUCCGGGAAGCGAUGAAAGACUCUCGCUCCUUGAUCAGGUGUGCUGUACAUCCUGAAGGAACGAUCAGUUUUAUACGAGGUCAACUUGGUGUUCUACAGCGAUCGUGUCAAAGAUCGUGAGAUCGUUACUGCUCGUGCAAAAAUAUUUAAAUUUUUUUACGCUACAUUUAGAUAAUAAAAAAUUACAUAUAAAAUAAAUACCGCUAAAAAUAAAAAUAAUAAAAAUAGCAGUAUUUUUUAUUAACUAUACAUAAGAUGUAGAAUUUUGUAGAAGUUUCGACUUCUGUGCAAAUUAAAUAAAUAAAAUCAUGACGUUUUCA